UUGUGGAUAAAGUGGACCAAUUAGUAUUGUUGUGUUGAAUUUGGUCGUCAAUGAUACACCUACGUUUAUUACAUUAGAUAUUAAUAAGUUUGAACUUGGAGAGGAAUUAUCAUUCAAAGUAAGUAUAUUAAGACUAAUCAGUCAUUACUGAACUUAAUCAAUUAAGCAAAAUCAGCAUCACAAACAAAGAGUAUGUUCCAUUAGCAAGGAACAAGGGAGGCAAAUAGAGUUCUAUAUAUCUAAAAGAAGGUUCACAUGCAAUAAUACGAAGGUAAGAAUUAAUACUUAUACAUAUACAAG
rnacentral:lncRNA from 1 species